UCCGGUUUGUCACCGGCAGUCACCUUAGAGUGCCCAACUGAAUGCUGGCAACUAAGAUCAAGGGUUGCGCUCGUUGCGGGACUUAACCCAACAUCUCACGACACGAGCUGACGACAGCCAUGCAGCACCUUCUCACCGGUUCUCUUGCGAGCACCCCUCCAUCUCUGGAAGGUUCCGGUGGAUUUAACCCAGGUAAGGUUCUUCGCGUUGCGUCGAAUUGAACCACAUGCUCCACCGCUUGUGCGGGCCCCCGUCAAUUCCUUUGAGUUUCAGCCUUGCGACUGUACUCCCCAGGCGGGGCACUUCAUGCGUUAGCGCCGGUACUCCAAGGGUCGCUCCCCGGAGCACCUAGUGCCCAUCGUUUACGGCGUGGACUAC
rnacentral:misc_RNA from 1 species